GAUGAAGAACGCAGCAAAAUGCGAUAAGUAAUGUGAAUUGCAGAAUUCAGUGAAUCAUCGAAUCUUUGAACGCACAUUGCGCCCGCCAGUAUUCUGGCGGGCAUGCCUGUUCGAGCGUCAUUUCAACCCUCAAGCACAGCUUGGUGUUGGGACUCGCGUUAAUUCGCGUUCCUCAAAUUGAUUGGCGGUCACGUCGAGCUUCCAUAGCGUAGUAGUAAAACCCUCGUUACUGGUAAUCGUCGCGGCCACGCCGUUAAACCCCAACUUCUGAAUGUUGACCUCGGAUCAGGUAGGAAUACCCGCUGAACUUAAGCAUACAAUAAGCGGAGGA
rnacentral:misc_RNA from 1 species